GGAAGGCCUCUGGAGUUUGUAUUAUAAUAUAACCACAGAAUGAAAACUUGAACUGAUACAAGUUUGAUGGGAAAAGUGAGAUGGAAAAAAAGAUAAAAAUAUCAUUUAAAACUUUCCUGCGAGUUUAUCAGGUUCAAUCGGGUAAACUCGGUCACAUUUUUGAGUUUGUAGCCAACUUAACUCGAAAUUGAUACCUAAACUCGUGAAAUUAGAGAGUAAGUAAUAGGGUUAGCGUGGGAAUUAUGGAGGUGACGACAUGUCUAGUCAGUCACAUGGUGCACCUAUGGUUUUGAAGGUGUAUGGGAGGAAAACUAGGAAGAAUGAUAAGGGUGAGCUGGCAAGUGAAGGAUGAAAUGCGUAAGGCUAUUCCGUAUUUGUGGGGAAAGUUUGUUAGGGAGGAGUCACUCUUGGAUAUUCUGUUAGUUGUGAGCAGAGAGUAGAUUCUCUCUGAGUUAGUGAGCUCAAAAAGAAUAUACUGUAUGCUCUCAACUAAUAGAAUAUCCGAAAGUGUUUCCUCCCUAACAAAUCUUCCGCACAUAAACUGAAUAGACUCACACAUUUUCUCCUUCACUUGCCAACUAACCCUUAUCUCUCUUCUU
rnacentral:lncRNA from 1 species